CAGAGAACAUCGCCCUCCGGGUGACUCUCCAACCCUAUGUUAUUAAAUCUUUGUUGCUUUGGCGAGCCGCCUCGGCCACCGGCUUCCGCUGGUGAGCGCUCGCCAGAGGACCCCAAACUCUGUUUAUUAGUGUCGUCUGAGUACUAUAAUAAUAGUUA
rnacentral:misc_RNA from 1 species